UCCGGCUUAUCACCGGCAGUCCCUCUAGAGUGCCCAACUAAAUGAUGGCAACUAAAGGCGAGGGUUGCGCUCGUUGCGGGACUUAACCCAACAUCUCACGACACGAGCUGACGACAGCCAUGCAGCACCUGUCUCAAUGCUCCCGAAGGCACCAAUCCAUCUCUGGAAAGUUCAUUGGAUGUCAAGGCCAGGUAAGGUUCUUCGCGUUGCAUCGAAUUAAUCCACAUGCUCCGCCGCUUGUGCGGGCCCCCGUCAAUUCCUUUGAGUUUCAACCUUGCGGUCGUACUCCCCAGGUGGAUCACUUAAUGCUUUCGCUCAGACGCGUACAGUAUAUCGCACACAUCGAGUGAUCAUCGUUUAGGGCGUGGACUAC
rnacentral:misc_RNA from 1 species